GGAGUUGUAGCUCAGUUGGUAGAGUGUUUGCUUUACAUGUAUGAGGCACUAGAUUCGAUCCUCAGCUCCA
rnacentral:tRNA from 1 species